AAAAAGUUUUUCCAAGCAGCAGAAAGCUCUAUAAAUUUGAUGAAAGAGAAACAAUUUUGGCCAAAUCUUGUGUUGAACACUAUUUUCAUAAUUUGAGAAAAGUUUACAUUUUAAAAAGUUAUUCCUCUCUUCAAUUUGCAAUCACUUUUAAGAAAGAGUUGUAACAAGUCAGUGAAGUUUUCAGAAAGUAAUAGAUGACAUUAUGAUUAGUUACACACAUGGGUUAUCUUCACAUCAAGAACAUGUUUGCACUUAAGCCAAGUUUCAGUAUUUCAUGCACAUUAUAUCUGCUAUGAAUAAUAUUGUCAUGUUUUUUUUUUCUUCAAAUACACGAGAUUACUUUUUGAAAAUAACAAAUUCAGGUUGGUUUUAAGAUUUGCUUUUUUUAACUAGGAUUUGAAAGAUUUUUUUAGUAUUUUAAUUUUAGAUUGUUUUUUUUUUUAAAUGCUUUUGUAAAAGAAAGAAAAAAUAGUUUUUAUUUGGGUAGUUGCAUUACUAGAAGACAAGAAACCAGCAAAAAUUCUAAUAUAAUCAACAACUGUUAGCUA